CACCAAACAUUGUAUGAGAGAAUACAAUCAGCAAAAAUUAAUUCAUCAUCUGCUGAAAGGAAAUGGAGAGCUUCAAAUGAUACAAGUUCAACUGACCUAUAUGCCAGGUUUAUGAGUGCUCUUUACAACUUACUUGAUGGUUCUUCUGAUAAUACGAAAUUUGAGGAUGAUUGCCGAGCUAUUAUUGGAACCCAAUCAUAUGUUCUAUUCACAUUGGACAAGUUGAUAUAUAAGCUUGU
rnacentral:misc_RNA from 1 species